AGGGCUGUGGCUCAGUGGUAGAGCGUCUGCUUUGCAUGCAGAAGGUCCUAGGUUUGGUUCCUGACAGCUCCA